rnacentral:miRNA from 1 species
UCUGGGAUGAGACAUUGUUAUAG